GCGAUAUCGAUUUUACGAGUGACCGUCGUUCGGAGAUUCCAACUCACGUUCCGAAACGUAAUUUAAUUCGAUUAAGAAUUAACGUAUCAAUAGAUUCCUUGGCAGGACCUUCGAACUUUCGACUGUCGCAACCAGGGAAAACAAGAUCUUGUUUGUCUUUUAAACAGUACGUGGUGUUCCAGGAUCGAGUAUGAUUAAAUUCGUGGGAAUCGAAGGAACUAUCGUGACGGAACUAUGUAAAUCUCGAGCGAACAUCUCGCCUGAAGAUCGAUCAAGAACCCGAAGAGAUAUCGGGCCCGUGAGGCUCUCAGAGGAAAUGAAUGUCAGUUCUUAAUCGAGUUUGUAUCUGAAAUACCGCUACUACGCGUUGAGAGUGGGAUGAUCGGAACAAAGCGGGUCACAAUUGAAGUGAAGGAUUAAAAAGGAGGAUUUAACUUUGACGCUCUUUGGCGGAAUGCUAACUAGAUUGCUGUUAGACUAGAAAAUGAAUUAUUUGUAAUGUCAAUUUAGAACAUGCAAUCUAAAUAGAAAUUCCUUUUAUACAUUAUAAAUUAAAUUCACCUUUCAUACAUUUUGGGCAUUCAAUGCAGUUUUGAUAGAUACAAGGGUUUUAUAAAUGCAUCAAAUCUAAUUAUAGGCAAUUGAUCGCUGAGUGGAUGAAAAUUGUAUUAAUUAAUCGGUUAAAUUGAAUACCAUUUUCUAGUUUGCAACUAUUUAAUUAACUCCCGGAUGUAAUCCCGAGUAAUGGCCAAAAAGGAAACAGACUUCAUAAGAGAUAGUACUAAUAUAACGUUUAAUAAGGAAUUAUAAGCUUAAAUCGUCAAGCUCGGAAGUUUUGAUCGUUAUAAUGUAAAAGUUUGCGGUGGAUACAAGCUUCCGAUGAAAUUGAAUUUUGAAUCUCCGCCACAUACAAUAUGCUUGUCCUAUUAUAAAACGAAACUCGUACUACGAAGUUAUAAUUCGUACGCCACUACGAUAGAGUCGUGUAGCGAAAGUAUGAAAUAAUUUUUAGAAUCUCUAUUGUAAGGAUCCUACAUGCCGUUGAAUAUGUCGAAGAUUCACUCGAAUGGAAUUCGAUAACAUGCAUAAAGGAGUUUUUUUGUCAGAGUAUGAAGAAUGAGGAAUAAGAAUUUUUAUCAGGGUAAAAAGGAACGCAUUUCUGAAUGAUUUUGAAUUAUGUAGGAUGGGUGCAGGCACGUAAUUGUACCCAAUACGAAAUAAAU